GAGAGCGAGGGGGCGGAUGUUUAGAAGAAAUAAAUAUAAAGAGUAUAAAGAGAGCGAGGGGGCGGA
rnacentral:tRNA from 1 species